CCAACCGGGAUUGCCUUAGUAACGGCGAGUGAAGCGGCAAAAGCUCAAAUUUGAAAUCUGGUACCUUCGGUGCCCGAGUUGUAAUUUGGAGAGGGCAACUUUGGGGCCGUUCCUUGUCUAUGUUCCUUGGAACAGGACGUCAUAGAGGGUGAGAAUCCCGUGUGGCGAGGAGUGCGGUUCUUUGUAAAGUGCCUUCGAAGAGUCGAGUUGUUUGGGAAUGCAGCUCUAAGUGGGUGGUAAAUUCCAUCUAAAGCUAAAUAUUGGCGAGAGACCGAUAGCGAACAAGUACAGUGAUGGAAAGAUGAAAAGAACUUUGAAAAGAGAGUGAAAAAGUACGUGAAAUUGUUGAAAGGGAAGGGCAUUUGAUCAGACAUGGUGUUUUGUGCCCUCUGCUCCUUGUGGGUAGGGGAAUCUCGCAUUUCACUGGGCCAGCAUCAGUUUUGGUGGCAGGAUAAAUCCAUAGGAAUGUAGCUUGCCUCGGUAAGUAUUAUAGCCUGUGGGAAUACUGCCAGCUGGGACUGAGGACUGCGACGUAAGUCAAGGAUGCUGGCAUAAUG
rnacentral:rRNA from 1 species